rnacentral:tRNA from 1 species
CAGUGCGUGGCCGAGAUAGUUAAGCACCUCCCUUACACCGAGAAGACGCCCAUGCAAGUUGGGCCGCCCUGA